rnacentral:rRNA from 1 species
CAUAGGUUAAUGAGGCGAACCGGGGGAACUGAAACAUCUAAGUACCCCGAGGAAAAGAAAUCAACCGAGAUUCCCCCAGUAGCGGCGAGCGAACGGGGAGGAGCCCAGAGCCUGAAUCAGUGUGUGUGUUAGUGGAAGCGUCUGGAAAGGCGCGCGAUACAGGGUGACAGCCCCGUACACAAAAAUGCACAUGCUGUGAGCUCGAUGAGUAGGGCGGGACACGUGGUAUCCUGUCUGAAUAUGGGGGGACCAUCCUCCAAGGCUAAAUACUCCUGACUGACCGAUAGUGAACCAGUACCGUGAGGGAAAGGCGAAAAGAACCCCGGCGAGGGGAGUGAAAAAGAACCUGAAACCGUGUACGUACAAGCAGUGGGAGCCUCUUAAUGGGGUGACUGCGUACCUUUUGUAUAAUGGGUCAGCGACUUAUAUUCUGUAGCAAGGUUAACCGAAUAGGGGAGCCGAAGGGAAACCGAGUCUUAACUGGGCGUUAAGUUGCAGGGUAUAGACCCGAAACCCGGUGAUCUAGCCAUGGGCAGGUUGAAGGUUGGGUAACACUAACUGGAGGACCGAACCGACUAAUGUUGAAAAAUUAGCGGAUGACUUGUGGCUGGGGGUGAAAGGCCAAUCAAACCGGGAGAUAGCUGGUUCUCCCCGAAAGCUAUUUAGGUAGCGCCUCGUGAAUUCAUCUCCGGGGGUAGAGCACUGUUUCGGCAAGGGGGUCAUCCCGACUUACCAACCCGAUGCAAACUGCGAAUACCGGAGAAUGUUAUCACGGGAGACACACGGCGGGUGCUAACGUCCGUCGUGAAGAGGGAAACAACCCAGACCGCCAGCUAAGGUCCCAAAGUCAUGGUUAAGUGGGAAACGAUGUGGGAAGGCCCAGACAGCCAGGAUGUUGGCUUAGAAGCAGCCAUCAUUUAAAGAAAGCGUAAUAGCUCACUGGUCGAGUCGGCCUGCGCGGAAGAUGUAACGGGGCUAAACCAUGCACCGAAGCUGCGGCAGCGACACUAUGUGUUGUUGGGUAGGGGAGCGUUCUGUAAGCCUGUGAAGGUGGCCUGUGAGGGUUGCUGGAGGUAUCAGAAGUGCGAAUGCUGACAUAAGUAACG